rnacentral:rRNA from 1 species
GUGGAUUAGAUACCCUGGUAGUCCUGGCAGUAAACGGUGCACGUUUGGUGUGCGCGGAUUCGACCCCGUGCGUGCCGGAGCUAACGCGUUAAACGUGCCGCCUGAGGAGUACGGUCGCAAGAUUAAAACUCAAAGAAAUUGACGGGGGCCCGCACAAGCGGUGGAGUAUGUGGCUUAAUUCGAUGCAACGCGAAGAACCUUACCUGGGCUUGACAUGCAUCGUGUCGCCGGUGAAAGCCGGCCAGUGUAGCAAUACACGCUUUGCACAGGUGCUGCACGGCUGUCGCCAGCU